ACUGUAUGAAAUGCAUAAUGAUGUGGAAAUCAGAGAAAACACAAGGAUUGAGCCCAAAUUCUUAGGCCCCCUGCUGCUUUAUGGGUGGGCUAUUUAGCAAUGCUACUCAGAUGUUAAGUGCUAGCUUCUAGAUUAAACAAUCAUUUUAUGCAACCACUCAAGAUUGAAAAGUAUUUUUUGAGAUAGAGUAUGUGCCCAGUAUAGUCUAGGUAAUGCUAGUGGCUAAUGGUAUAGGAUCUGGAAUCAGAAAGAUGGAUUUAAAUGUCCUCUUUGCCACUAAUGAGCAAUAUAACUGAACAACUUACUCUUCUGAGCUUCAGUUUCCUCAUCUAUAAACUGUAAAUAAUAACAGUACUUUUCCUACAGGGCUCUGGUGAAUACUAAAAAAGCAAAUUAUGCAGCACACUUAGUAUAGUGUCUGGCCCAUAACUGAUAAACAUUGUUUAUACAUAUAGUUCCUUCCCUUAAGGAGAUUAACUGUGGAGAUCUGAUUAACAGGUAAAAAAAAAUAAUGAAAAGGCAAUACAACAAUCCUAAAGGUUAAUACUUUGCUCUUUAAGAUGAAGAAACUAAGGCUCAGAAGUUGUUACCUAAGAUCCCAGAUACUAAGUUGUAAGAUGUGUUUGACAUCAAAGUCCAAGUCUUUCCACUACAUCAUGUUGCCUCAAGGAAAAAAUCAAGAACAAACGAUGGAAGCAAAAAUAAACAAGAAUGACAAAGAAGCAUAAAAGAACAAUCACAACAGAAAGUGGUCUGCGCUGUGUCAUGACAGGACAUGGGAAAAGCCUUGAAACUGGAAGCCACAGUUCCUUUCCCCUAGACUGAACACCCUAAUAGCUUUUAUCCCAUCUUAUAUAUUCCAAGUUUCUAUAAAAUAUCUAAAUUCAAAAUAAAACAAUAAGUUCUGAGAACAAUUGGGAUCUCACAGUAAGCUAGCAUAAUGUAACAGUCAUUCAUGGGUGAAUGAUGCACUUAAAGUGAGAGUGCACAACUUCACUGAUGAGCUCACAUUCCAUGUUGCAAUUAAACUUUCACAAACCACACCUUGGCAGGUUUUGAUGUAACAUUAAAGAAUACAUACACUGAAAAGUCUAUUAAAGCACUUCUCCCCCUUCCAGCUGCAUAUCUAUGUGAGGCCAGAUUUUCUUCAUAUACUUCAACCAAAACAUCUCACAACCAAGUGAAUGCAGAAGCACAUAUGAAAAACAACUGACUUCAUCUAAAGAGAUUUACAAAAAUGUAAAAACAAUGUCAUUCUUCUUGCUAAAUGUAUUUUGUUUGGAAAACUGUUUUUCAUAAAUAUGUUAAUGUAUGGCUUUAUUAUCAUUUUAAUGAAUUUCUAAUUUGGUAAAUAUCAAUAGAUAUACUCCAUAGAAACAAAACUUCCUCAAGGUCCUUAAUAAUUUUUAAGAACAGAAAGGGGUCCAGGGAUGAGAACAGCAGAUCAGGGAACAG